GAGUGGACGUGCUGGGGCUCGGAAACAUCGUCAGCGACUAUUAAACUGUCAUGUGGAGGCAACAAAAAGACGACAAGUCCUUCUUCUCCCUAGCAAUGUUUACCAGAUUGAAGUAUUUCUUUGGUGGGAGUGAGACAGACUUCUCAGCAUGGUCCCUGUGGUGUAUUUCCCACUGACACGACUGAGCUCUGACACAUGUUGGGCCCCCAUGUGUUGUCAUCCGCUGCAAGGGAAGUGAAACUAACGACGACAAACAAGAUUUUGAUGCGUCUGCACACUUUGGGUGUCAUCUCGUCGCUCAUCGUGGACGAGGAAAUGGGGCAGCCAAGAGGUCACCAAAGUGAGCAGACAAAAGGUUUGAACACGGAACCUGAAACCAGGAGCUACACACGCCGCCGUCUGGAGCCACUGUCGGCCUUAUCUGGACGCGAUAACAGACGACAACAAACCUGGACGCACGCGCGCGCACCCACCCACGCUGCUGGCCCAGUUAUCCCACAGAAGUGUCAUAUGUGACACCCACAAAUUAAACCAGCCGAUCAGCGCCUAAAUUAUUUGCCUCUGGCUUGCUUUUAACUUUGAGUGGUGGUAUAUACAUUUCGUUGUUUUUUUGUUUUUUUUUUCAA